rnacentral:rRNA from 1 species
GAUGAACGCUGGCGGCGUGCUUAACACAUGCAAGUCGAACGGAAAGGCCCUUGCUUGCAGGGGUACUCGAGUGGCGAACGGGUGAGUAACACGUGGGUGAUCUGCCCUGCACUUCGGGAUAAGCUUGGGAAACUGGGUCUAAUACCGGAUAGGACCAUCGUCCAGUGUCUGUGGCGGAAAGUUUUUUCGGUGUGGGAUGGGUUCGCGCCGUGUAAGCUUGUUGGGUGGGUAUUGUCCUACCAAGGCGUCGACGGGUAGCCGGCCUGAGAGGGUGUACGGCCACAUUGGAACUGAGAUACGACCCAGCCUCCUACGGGACGCAGCAGUGGAGAAUAUUGCACAAUGGGCGGAAGCCUAGUGCAGCGACGCCGCGUGGGGGAUGACGGCCUUCGGGUUGUAAACUCCUUUCGUCAGGGACGAAGCGAAAGUGACGGUACCUGGAGAAGAAGCACCGGCUAACUACGUG